AGGAAUUCAGCAGUGUUAAACCUUGAGGUACUGGGACAUAAACGUACAGCCCAAAGAAAAGAUGCCAUGUUUAUUGUAACAACACAUACACAAACAAGGGCCUGACUUACUGAAAUGAAGCUCCACUGCUCUCAGAACUGAGCCUAUGCUAAUGACCUGGUUGGGACUGUACCCAAAUUAUAAAUUAUAUAUGUUUGAAAUGUAACAUUCUGUAGCCUGAUCGUGCCUUUUCAGUAGGAGUUUAAGACGACAGUUUGGUAAUCAGAAUAAAAUCAUCUGGUUCAGUCUGUGCAAUUGGGUUGGAUGAUGAUUUAAACAGGUAGAUGAGAUUUCCCUUCAUUUGUGUGGAAGCUCUGUUUGGUUAUCUGAAGAUAAAAUGUGUUGAGUAUUUUUUUUUUAAUUUUCCCUUUUUUUCACUUUCAGGAUUUUUUUUUUUAGAGGCUGGAAAGUAUUUACUCUUUCCAGAAUCUAUGGAAAUAAUGAUCUGUCUGUGUGUCUUUGCCUGUGAGGUCAGCCAAAGGAUUUUUGCCAUUUCUGGAAUAGAUUCUUAAAAGCUCUAAGUAUUCCAGAUCCAAUCAAAUUCAAGAGUACUUAAAUGUUAAAAGAAUAACCCAGAGCUCUGUGAAUCAAAACAAUGCAUUCCCUCACAAAUAAUGGAAAACUCUGGGGUUUUGGCAGCUGAGAUCUGUUUGCUUGAAGUUCUGACCCUGAACACUCUAAGCCUAAACAAAUACAACUAUUUGAGUGAGCUAAACAAAUGUACUGAGGCAAAUGAAGUUCCACAAAUGCUUAAGAUCUUUCUGGCUAACUUUUUGGAAGAUAUGCUCUAGUUCAGCCACAAAUUACUUGGCUAGACACUGAAAUUGCUGGGUGAAAUGCUAUGGUCUGUAUUUUACAGCAUUUCAGACUAGAUGAUUGCAGUAGUCACUUCUGAUCUUGAAAUAUGUGGGUUGGCUGUUAACUUAAGUUAGCAAUGCCAGAGUGAGGAAUAUAGGAAUGUGGAUUGGUUUUCUUUUUUUUAGCAUUAUUAAAACCUGUUAGGAUUUCAAUUUUAAUGAGUACCCUGUUUAGAAUAAAUAAUUUGUCUGGAAGUGCUAAAAAACUAUUUGUCAGUACUUAGUCACUUGCCCAAUUCAGUGUUAAGGGGGAAAAAAGCAACAAACUGCUUAAUGGGGAGGUUUUUCUGACUUCCUUUAUGGUAUUUUCUCAAAGCCUUUAUAUUGCCAAACCUUUAUGGACUCCUUAUAUUAUUGAACCUGCUUGAUCUUAGAUGUAGUAUUUACUUUUGUGGUGCUUGUUGUUGCAAAACAGUAUGUUUGAAAUUAAACACAGAAUAUCCCUAUGAUUUUUCCAUCUUUAAUUUAUUAUUUUUAUAGCUAUUGACGGAGAAACUGAGUUCAUUUUUCCAUUAAACCAAUUCUCUAAU
rnacentral:lncRNA from 7 species